rnacentral:lncRNA from 1 species
GAGGAGGUCAAGAAUCAUGGAUCACUCAUCCUCACUUGCAGUCUCUUAUAAAGAACAUCCAAGCAACUAAGUGUACCAAACCUUAUUAUUAGUUCGCGGAUAAGGGUAGAAGGCUAGGAUGAGUGCGUGGGUUGUAGCAAGUAGUUGGGUUAGUAAUCCUAGGACUGUGUCCAUAGGUAGGAACUCCUAGACAGGAGGGUUUGGGUGUGGUGGGUGUCUUUGGUCUAUGAGUGUAUGUUGCUACUAGGUGGGUGUCCUAUUUCAAAUGUCCUGUUUCUUAUCCCUUAUUUCAUAUUGUGCUUAUUUAUCUUAUUUCGUAUUGCUCUAAUUUCUAUUUUAUUAUGUCUUAUUCCUUAUUUAUGUUAUGCCAUCCAUCCUGCUUCAUGUUUCAUUACGCUCUUGUUUACUAUUCUUUAUCUUGAGCCGGGGGUCUAUCGGAAACAGCCUCUCUACUUCUUCGGAGGUAGCGGUAUGGACUGCGUACAUUUUACCCUCCCCACACCCCACAAACUUCGUGGGAAUACAUUGCGUUUGUUGUUGUUGUUGUUGCUGGUAUUUUGAGCACAAAAGGAAAGCUGAUGCUAAUUUGAGGAAGCAACUUAUUGCUUAUUUCAUGAAAGCUCACUUAGUGGUCAUUCUAAUAUCAAUGCUACAUUGCAUAGUUUAAAGCAAGAAUUCUAUGGGAAGAAAAUGCAACGGGAGGUUUAUUCUUUUGUCACAGAGUGUGACACUUUCCAAAGGUGCAAGGGUGAGAAUGUUGCCCCACCCUAGCCUAUUGCAGCCUCUUCCCAUCCCUGACAAGGUUUGGCAAGACCUCUCUAUGGAUUCCAUCGAGGGACUUCCUAAAGCUAUUGGCAAGGAAGCUAUUUUUGUGGUGGUUGACAGACUCAGUAAGGCUGCUCACAUCCUUGUCUUAAACAUCCUUAUUCAGCACUAGAUGUUGCUCAAUUGUUCAUUGAUGGUGUCUUCGAAUUGCAUGGAAUGCCAAAAUCUAUUGUUUCAGACAGGGAUCCUAUUUUUGUAAGCAAGUUUUGGCAGUAGUUAUUCAAACUACAGAAGGUUUCCUUACUAACUUCUUCUGCAUACCAUAGUCGGACUAAUGGUCAAACUGAGGUUGUCAGCAGGUGUUUGGAGUCCUAUGAGGUGCAUGACCUUUGAUAAACCUAAAGAUUGGCCGCAUUGGUUGUCAAUUGCUGAAUGGUGGUAUAACACCUCCUACCACUCCUCUAUCCACAUGACCCCUUAUGAAGUUGUUUUUGGCCAAAAGCCACCUCCCUUGCUCCCUUACUUACCCUUUGAUUCUCAAUUGGAUGUGGUUGAUAGAAGCUUACAGGCUAGGGAAGCCACUAUCAGAUGUUUGAAGUUUCAUUUAAGCCAAGCUCAAAAUAGGAUGAAGAUGCAAGCUGACAAGCACAGGACUUGAGAAGCUUGUCAUAAUGUUGCUACUCCUACACUUCCUGUUGUUCACACUGAUUCAGGUCACAUCUUGCUAGUGCCUGAAGCUAUUCUUGAUAGAAGACUCUUUCAAACGAGGGGCUGAAUUGGUACUCAAGUCCUGGUCAAGCGGUUGAAUGCAGCACCUGAAGAUAGUUCUUGGAUGGAAAUCGUGAAAUUUACUCAACAGUACCCUCACUUCAAUCCUUGAGGACGUGGAUUGUUUUCAGGGUGGAGUGAUGGGGAGGCGAUUAACUUAAUCAAGUGAGGAAUUAGUUAAUUAGUCGAAAGUUAGUUAGGCACGUGGAAUACAAGCGAUCCGGGAAACAGUUAUAACUAACUUUUCCUCCAGUUUCCUGCUUUUGUUUUCUGUUUCCUUUAUUAGCUACUUUUUAGAUUCAGUUGUAAUGAAGCUUGAGUAGUAAGAAUUACAGUUUCUCUUCCAAUUCUCUCUUAUCAACUCUCUAAUUCCUUAUUAUCGAGUGAUUUGUUCAAGGGAAAUUCAUCAGUUUACCCUUUAGGAACACUCAAUUUCGCAAAAGUUGAUCUUUGAAUCCAGGGGGUCACAUCAAAAAUUUAACUGAAUGUUAUAUCAAAAGGUUGGAUAUCAUAAUAUGUUGUUAUUAUUUCAUAAUACUAGUAACUAUGGGACAUCAAGUUACAAUCCAAUGAAUAAUUAUCCCUCAUUAUAGUUCUAUUUUCAGAUAUCCUGCUUGAAACCAAAUGACCACAUUACUUUUAUCCUGACCAUCCCAGUCAGUAUGCAAACACUAUAGAAUUUGGCUACACCAAUUUAAUCUACUCCAAAAUUCUCAGGCAGCCCAAGCUAAAUCAACAGCAAAAUGAACUCCAAAAUAAGUUACAAGAACAUGACUUGGUAAGUAAUCUACACCACCAAAUUCUGGACUGACUUCAAAUUUUAUUUCUACGCUCAACUUGUUCAAUAUACCUUCAUGCAAAGGUCUUUUUAGAUAACCUUACCAGCUUCCUUGAUAAACAAUGAGAUAUUCAUGAUAGCAUCAUAUAAUCGGAUUCCAAAUUCAUGACCUAGGAAGGACAAUUCAAGAUCAAGACAUUGCCCAAUGAAGUAGUUUAAUCCACUCAAUAGUCCAACAUAAGUCCUUCUAUGACCUGAAGUAGGAAAGAGCAUAGAAUUAAGUGCAUCUCCCCAUAGUGCUGUAAUAUUAAGUCUCCAUUACCUAGAGCAAACAUUGUCUUUUGGGUUACCAAAUUCAUUCCUCAUAUAUAUUUGAACCACUGCCGAAACACAAUAAUGACGAUCUGCGGAUUCCACAAGCAGCAUAUCGUUCUUCUAUUAGUCAAAUUUUAAUGCAACCAAAUCGCGAAACUCUCACUCUAAGAAUCAGCUUCUGUUAGUCACCAAAAAAGUCAACCGUAAACAGUGGAUUCAAUAAGAAAAGCACAACAUUGUCUGCAGUCAUCUUCAACAACUUUUCCGCCUUCUACAAUUGGUUAAAAAGUCAACCAAAUAACAGUAGAUUAUUCCAUUAACCUUGCUAACAUAAUCAUUGUAUCAUGCUUCCGUCUGUCUUUAAAACUUCCCCUGAACCCUCUAGAGAGCCAAAACGAGCCCAUGAAAGUCCCCAAGUAGCCAGCUUUCAAGUAAUUAAGCCGUAAGAGCACAAAUCAACCUACUGAAUUCAACUCCAUUUCUUCGUUAUCCAUUUACAUAACAACAACAACAUACCCAAGGACAGAGUGUACGCAAACCUUACCCCUACCUUGGGAGGUAGAAAGGUUGUUUCCGAUAGACCUUCGGCUCAAGGUAAAUCAUAUCAGAGCAGAUCGAGAAAAAAGAAAAAAAAUGAAAGUGAAGAAUCAUUGCAAAAGACAAUCGAAGCAUGAUAAAUAAUUCUGAAAAAGGAACGGUAAGUACAACCAAAAUAGAGUGAUAACCGAAGUACAAGAGACAGUAGAAUGUAGAUAGUAAUAGAAAUCAAAGGAUAAAAAAGUACAGGAAAAAUACUACGACUACUAUAAGCACGGAUAAGAGAGACAACACUCUACUACCUACUAGCCUUCUACCCUAUUAAUUAGUUAAUAGAUUUUUCACAAAUGAAGUUCGCAUUCUAACAGCAAGAGAUCAACCCUUAACAUACUCUACCAGUGGCAUCCAAUCCCUCAAUUACGUUGAAUUGAAACCACAGACUUACCCUGACAAAAUCAGAAGAUCCUAUAAACGAAAAAACUAGAAUUCAUUUCUACAUUCUUUGUCAUCUCCAAAUUAACUAAAAAGGGUAGCAUGAUGCACCAAAGCUCCCGCUAUGACUAUUGCACGCAACCUUACCCUACAUUUCUGCAAAAGGUUGUCUCCACGACUUAAUUAAAUUACACAAAAGACUUCAUUUUUCCCCUCAAGCACCAAAAUCCCUCUAACACAGGAACAAAAAGAUAACAACAACAACAACAACUACUACUCUCAAUUCCAAUACUCAAUAAUCUGAAUCAAUCAAAACCCAACAACAAAUUUGGAAAUAAAUGUAAAAAAUAAUAAAGAAAAAUGAACCUGAUGAAUCGGUGGGUACAUAGAAUUGGUACAAACGGGGCACUCAAGCAAUUCAUGUACACUAGUAGGGACAAUUCCAACAUUAUUAUUGGGCUUUGGGUACUGAUGAGAUGCAUGGAUCUCUUCAUCAUCAACACCAUCCAUUGAUGAUGAUACACAUUCAAUGCUAUCCAUCUCCAUUUCUUCCAUUCAAAAAUCUGAACCACCCACUUUCAUCAAAAUAGAAAAAGAUUCAAACUUUUGAUUUUUGAAAGAAAUUUGGAGAAAAGUAACAACAAGGGUUCGGAUCAAGAAUAAAAAGAAACGAACCCUUUUGCCACACCUCAAACUUCUUUUCUUCUUUUUUCUUCUUCUCUUUCUGGGCUUCCAAAGGUUGUCUGAGGAGAAGAGAGAGGUUUAAGGAUCGCCGUCAAAUUCCCAACAUUAACUGUUCCUGAUCUUCAUCCAACGGCCUCUUAUUUUUCUCCAAAAAUGCCUUUUAUUAUUUUUAAAAUAUUUUUCCAUCAUUAAAUGACUAUAAAAAUCAUUGUUUCCAUUUAAAUUUUAAAAUAUAUUUAAUUUUAUUUAAUAAAUAAACCUCAAAUAAAUUUUUAAUAAAAAUGUCAAAUCAGUGUGGCAAUAAAAUAAAGUAUUAAAUUCCUAAGUUGAACUGCCUGUUGUGAUGGAAGUACUUGUUGGCCAACCUAUUUGAUGUGAUUUUUUCCUUUAUGUGACAUGUGGAUCUCAAGGUAAACCAUGGAGUAUUUUAAUUUAUGGAGAAGGAUCAAAUUUAUUUUUCUAUGUAGAAAAAUUAGCUAAAUAUAUUUUUCGUCAUAUAUUGAGAUUGAAUUUAUCUUCUUUAUUAUACUUAGGUCAAAUUUAUCUCUCUACUUUAAAAAAUUAAUUAAAUAUAUCUUUCAUCAUACUUUGGGCUCAAAUUUACCCUCGCAUUUAAGAAAUUUUUUAUAUAUAUUAUUUCGUAAUAGAAAAGCUCAAAUCAACGUUAAAUGUUUCAUUUAAAAAAAAUAAAAAUACACCUCAAUCUAAUCAAUACGAUUCAACUCGAGCCACAAAAAAGACACAAAUAAAUAUAUCCCCUUCAGUUUUGUUGAUUAAAUUUUUCCAAUGAAAUUAAGCCACUAGAUAUUUAUCCGUGCAUACCUCAUGAAAAAUUGAUAUGCAUCUGUGUAAGCACAAAGAAAUAUAUCUAUCUCUCGGUUCAUGUAUGUGCAAGAGCUCAUGGAAAAUGAAAUUUGAUGGUUAAAUGCAAUAGAUUAGCCCUAUUGAAUAUUUCUCCGGAUGGUUAAGAGGUCUCCCUAUGUAUCAAUCGUGACAUCUCUUCAUUCAUAUUUCUUUAUAUGCAACUUAAAUCUAUACAAAAUUUGCAUAUGUCAUUUACUUAUAAAAUUUAUUCACCGAUUCUAAAAUCUAGAUGCAUAUAGAACUGUAUACCAAAUUUUGAAAUUUAAAUAUAAUCGAACAAGAGCAAAGUUUGUAACAGACAUUUUCUCUAGUUCAUGCUUCCACGUUAUCCUAUUUCAUUUUACGUUUUGUUCAUUUGUAAGCAACCUACCAGUGUUGCACAUUGAAAAGGAAGUAUUUUUGUUCGCUGAAAAAAUUCGGCCAACAAAAUCAAACAAAGGGUAUAUUUGCUUGUGUAUUUUUUAAGUCAGAUUGGAUGAAUUAUAUUAUGGUGUGAUUUAUUUUUAAAAAUGAGUAAUUUAACGUUGAUUUGGACUUUUAAAAAAAAAAAAAGGAUACAGGUGAAAGUUUCUUAACAAUAAGGGUAACUAUGACCCAAAGUAUGAAAUCAAGGAUUAAUUUGACCUCAAAGUAUGAUGAAGGGUAUAUUUAGCUGAUUUUUUAAAGUAGAGGAGUAAAUUUGGACCCAAAGAAUGACAGCGAUAGCAAAUUUGACCCCAAAGCAUGACGAAUGAUAUAUUUAAUUAUUCUUUCAAAGUAGAGGAAUAAUUUUGUCCUUUUUCCCUUUAAUUUAUAUAACUGGUAAAAAAUUAUAAAAUUUUAACAUGGGUGAGGUUCGAGCAACAAAAGUUGAGUGAGGCUCCAUUAAUUUUUAAUAUAUGGAUAUAUGAAUCUAUUUGUUUACUUCUAACAAAAAAAAUGUUAUUAAUUAAUAUGAGUCACAUCAAACAGAAGUAGCACUAAAUUAAAGAUAAAAAAUUUGUUGGGUUCACAUUUUUUCACUUCCUUGAUACUCAUUUCUUUUAAUUUAGAGUUUUGAACUUUUUUCAACAUUAUUUUUCUAGUAAAUAGAGUCGUCUCAAUCAUAUCGAGACCUAAAACAAAACUCUAACAAGAGGCCUUAUCUUAAAAGAAAAUUUUAUAUAAUAUUUAUUUAUUUUUUUAAAAAAAAUUACCUUUUCAAGAUGUAAAAUUAUUAAUAAUUUUUUAUAAUAAAUACUUUUAUUAAUUCUUUUUCAAUUGACAAUAUAGCUAAGAUCUCAUAUGAUCCCCAUAAAUUUUAUUUUUGACCUUAUUCUCAAUUAAUUCUUCUAUUUCUCGUGCCCUAAAAGGUCACAUCGUAGUAAUAAUGAGUCUUUUUUUUUUUUUUUACGCUAAUAUUUGAUUUCAAAAAAUCUUUUUCUAUAUAGUUAUAUAUAACUAUUCUUAACGUGAAAAUAUGAGGGCUCCAUUAAUUAUGGGUCCUAGGCAUUUUCCUAAGUGACCUAAUGAAUGAAUACCCCUGCUUCUAAAUCAAAUGAUAUACGGUCCUGAUUACAUAUUUCAAAAAAUAUUAUUAAAAUUAAAAUUACAUGUUUAACUAUUCAAAUUAAUCUUGUAAUUUAAAAAAUAAAGGAAAAAUACAUAAAAACCUCCUGAUCUUAUUUAAAAUUUUCAAAUAGAUACUUAAACUUUACUUUCGACCUAUUACCCCAUGAAUCUUAAUUAAGUCGUUGCAAAUACACCAUUUUUCGCUGAAUCUCAAUCACAAGAAAGAGAGUGAAUGCACGCACUAAUCAGAUACUGCCACGUGUUAAAUAAUUUAAUUUCAUAUUUUAUUUAUAUUUUUUAAUAAAGUUUUCCUUUUUAUUUUAUUUAUCACCCCACCCCACCCCUUCUCCCCUACCCUACCCCAUCUAACAUCUCUCUCCCCAUCCCCCGUCCAGUAUCUUCCCUCCAUCCCCACCGAUAUCCAGUUGCUGAUUUCUUCAUUCUUCUUUCUCAAUGGAUUCAGUGUUUAUUUGGGUUUUAUAAAAUUGUUCAAAACGUAAAAAAAAAAACAACUGAAAUAAGAACUUGAAAUUGAAGAAAGUAAAUAUGGUGAUGGUAAAAGGUCAGUAGAAUUAUGGUGAUGAUUGAGAGAAUUGAGGAAAAAGAGAGUUAUGGUGAUGAUGAUGUUGUUGUUGUUGCUCUAAUUGAUGUUGUGGUUGUUGUAAUUGAUGUUGUUGUUAUUGUAAUUGAUAUUCUUUUUGAGUUAUGGUGAUGAAGAAGAAGACAAUGGUGGGUAGUGGGUUGGGGGCGUAUAAAAUAAUUUUAAAAAAUAAAAAAAUAUUUUUUAAAAAAGAAGAUAAAUUAUAUAUCAAAAUAUUUACACGUGACAACUUUUAAUUGAUAGAAAAAGUCAAUUUUGAGCCUUUUCACGCGCCUGCUGCGCGUGUAUACACACAAAGGGUCAAAAUAGUAUAUUUGCAAUGAUUUAAGUAAGAUUCGUAGGGUAAUAGUGUUGGGUUCAAUACGUAUGAAAAAUGUGUGAAUGAAAAAUAGAGGGACACAACCUUUGAGGAAAAGACAUUAUUUUGAAAAAGGUGUGACUGUUCAGAAAAAAAUACAAUGUUUCGAAUGAACAGACAUGACUUUUUCAAAUGAUACACCUUUUAAGUGAACCAUUACCACCUUUCAGAAGAGGCAUCUGAUGGCUAUAUAAACUUGCUUUCAUCCACAGGUUUAGAAAAAAAAAAGAAUGAAAAAUUUUCUGAAAUAAAAACUCUUUUUGUCUUCAAAACAUUCUUUGUGAUCAAUCAAAUCGUUGAGUGAGUUCGACGAAUCCAAUUAUUUGAGGUAUCACUAUAAUUGGAUUGAAAGUUAUUUUAUCCUGGGAGGAAUAUUCCAUAACCUCGGGUACAGUGAGGAGAAUUAUUCCUUAAGGACACUCCAUGAAGUCGGGGGACGUGGCCUUAAAUUCUGUUUCAUUAUAAUUUUUGAAAAAAUAAAAGACACUUCUUAGAAAGAUCACUUUGAUCUUGUGUUGAGGGUAUUUUUGUAUUUCAUAGUGUUCUUGUUUUAAACUUGAACUAGUGUUGAAGUUGUUGUGCCUAAAUACAGAUUCUUGUACCCGAAAGCACCAUAAAACUACAAUCUUAAGGAAUAAUCCUUGUAGAAUCUGUAUUGCUUAUUUUUGGAAAUUAAAGUUUUAAGCUUUCUACUCCGUUUGAACUUAACUAGUGAUUCGAAGACAUAAAAUCAUUAUCACAAGUUAAAGAUCAUUCAGUUGACGAUUGGAAGUCAUAAAAAAUUCAUCGUUAACUAGAAACAAGAAGAAGAGUUUAAAGUUGCUUAACUUUAUAAAUAGUAUUCUAAAAAUACUAAAUUUUAUUGUCUUGUGGUGACAGGAAAAAUGACUAACGAAAGUCAAAUGCAAGAUGCGGCUACGACUGUGGGGGAAACUAGUAUUGCCUCAAAAAGUCGAAAUGCUCCGCAACCAAUGGCACCUGCGGAGAAGCCCAAAAAAUUUGCGGACAUUGACUUUAAGCGAUGGCAGCAAAAGAUGUUAUUUUACCUCAUCACUCUAUGCCUUCAAAGGUUCACUAGUGAGAAUGCUCCUGAGGUACCCGAGGGAACCUUGGACAAAGCAUUAUAUCUUGAUUGGUCUCCAUGACAACCUCUACAAUGUUUACAGUGGAACUAAGACAUCGAAGGAAUUGUGAGGGGCACUAGAACAAAAAUAUAAGACAGAGGAUGCAAGAAUUAAGAAAUUCUUUGUUGCAAGGUUUCUGGACUUUAAAAUGAUAGAUAGCAAAUCGGUUGUCUCUCAAGUUCAGGAAUUGCAAGUAAUCAUCCAUGAUCUCUUAGUAGAAGGUAUAUCUUUGAAAAAUACCUUAGUUGAACAAAUUGAAAAUGUUCUUAUGCAAGGAGAUAACUGUCGAAGAUCUUAUUGUCCGACUGUGUAUUGAAGAGGAUAAUAAGGCUGUCGAGAGAAGGUCAAAAGGGAAUUCUACAAUUAAUGGAGCACAUAUUAUAGAAGAUGACUAAAACAAUUCUAAGAAAAGAAAGAAAGUUGAACAAGGAAGCAAUUAACCCAAGAAGAAAUUCAAGGAAAAGUGCUUCAACUAUGGCAAGAUUGGCAUAAGUCCACGGAUUGUCGUGCCCCUAAGAAAGGCAAGAAAAAAGAUCAAGCAAAUAUGAUUGAGUCCAACAAAGAAUGUGAUGAUCUGUAUGCUAUGUUUUCAGAAUGCAACUUGGUGGGGAAUCCUCGCGAGUGGUGAAUGGAUUCUGGUACCACCCGCCAUGUUUGUGCCAACAAGGAGUUGUUUUCAUCAUUUGCUCCGACUCAAGUAGAAGAAAUGAUCUACAUGGCUAACUCCGCUACGGCUAAGGUAGAAGGAACAGGAAAAGUAGGCUUGAAAAUAACUUCGGAAAAGGUCUUGACACUUAACAAUGUCUUGUACGUUCCAAAAUUACGUUGGAACUUGAUUUCUGUUUCACUUCUAGACAAGAACGAAUUCAAAUGUACAACCGAUUCUGGAAAAAUUGUAAUUAGCAAAGGAGAAGUGUAUGUAAGAAAAGGCUAUCUCACCAAGGGCCUUUAUAAGAUGAAUGUAAUGAAUGUUGAAAUCAAUAAAAAUUCAAAUUCUUCUUACUUGCUUGAGUUUUAUAAUUUAUGGCAUGAACGUUUAGGCCAUGUUAAUUACAAAAUAUUACAAAAAAUGAUUAACUUAGAGGUUUUUUCAAACUUUGAGUGUAAUAAAUCAAAGUGUCAAACGUGUGUGGAAUCAAAGUAUGCAAAGCAUUUUUAUAAAUCCAUUGAAAGAAAUUUCAAUCCCUUAGACUUAAUACACACUGACAUUUAUGAUAUGAAGUCAACACCAUCACGUGGUGGGAAAAAGUAUUUCAUAACGUUUAUUGAUGAUUGCACUGGAUACUAUUAUGUCUACUUGCUAAAUAGUAAGGAUGAAGCAAUAGAUGCGUUUAGGCAAUAUAAAAUUGAAGUAGAAAAUCAGUUAGAGAAAAGGAUAAAAAUAAUAAGAAAUGAUAGGGGAGGAGAAUAUGAAUCUCCCUUCGCUGAAAUAUGUGUAGAGAAUGGAAUCGUACAUCAAACUAUGACCCCUUAUUCACCUUAAUCUAACGGAAUUGUGAAAAAAAAAAUCAAACUUUGAAGGAAAUGAUGAAUGUCUUACUUAUAAGUUCUGGUUUACCGCAAAACUUAUGGGGGAGGCUAUCGUACAGUCAAUCAUAUACUUAAUAGAGUUUCCCAUAGUAAGGCACAAUCAAUUUCUUAUGAAAAAUGGAAAGGAAAGAAGCCCAACUUGAAAUAUUUCAAAGUGUGGGGGUGUCUAGAAAAGGUCCAAGUUCCUAUGCCUAAAAGGGUUAAGAUAGGACCUAAGACUGUGGACUGCAUGUUCAUAGGAUAUGCUAAAAACAGUAAAGCAUGUCGUUUUUUAGUUCAUAAAUCCGAACAUUCGGAUAUAAAUGAAAAUACGGUAAUUGAAUCAGAUAAUGCUGAAUUCUUUGAAAAUAUUUACCAAUAUAAAAUUAGACAUAAAUAGUCUAGUGGAGGAUCUAAAUAACCUCGAGAUAAACCAAGUGAGAAUGCACAUAAUGAAGAGAAUCCAAGACGUAGUAUACGUCAAAGAACGUCUACUUCGUUUGGAUUAGAUUUUAUAACAUUUCUCUUAGAAAAUGAGCCUCAAAUAUUUAAAAAAGCGAUGUCGUUAUCAGACUCAUCCUUUUGGAAAGAGGCAAUCAAGAGUGAGAUUGAUUCAAUCUUAAGCAACCAUACGUGGGAAUUGGUUGAUCUUCCUCCUAAAAAUAAACCUUUAGGUUCUAAACGGAUCUUCAAAAGGAAAAUGAAAGCGGAUGGUACUAUUAGCAAAUACAAGGCAAGACUUGUAGUAAAAGAUUUCAAGCAAAAAGAAGGCCUUGAUUACUUUGAUACAUACUCGCCAGUAACAAGGAUAACAUUGAUUCAAAUGUUAAUUGCCUUGGAGGCAAUAUAUGGUCUUGAAAUCCAUCAAAUGGAUGUGAAAACUGCAUUUCUAAAUAGAGAAUUAGAGGAAGAAAUUUACAUGGAACAACCUGACGGUUUUGUGAUUCCAGGAAAGGAGAAUAAGGUGUGUAAACUUAUUAAAUAAUUGUAUAGUCUAAAGCAAGCUCCUAAACAAUGGCAUACAAAGUUUGACCAAACCAUGUUGGCAAACGGAUUCAAGAUAAAUGAAUGUGAUAAAUGUGUUGACAUUAAAGACACUCCGAAUCACCAAGUCAUUGUUUGUUUAUAUGUGGAUGAUAUGUUGAUCAUCAGUAGAGAUAUUUCUGACAUAAAUGCAAUGAAACGAAUGCUAGAGAGUAAGUUCGAUUUGAAAGACCUUAGAGUUACAGAUGUGAUCUUACGAAUACGAAUCCAUAAAACUCAACAAGGGUUGGCAUUGUCACAGUCUCAUUUUAUAAAAAAUAUACUUAAAAAAUUCAAGUAUAUAGAAUUCGGUAUUGCCAAGACUCCAUUGGAUGUGAGCUUUGCACUUUGAAAGAAUGAAGGUAAAAGUGACUCACAAUUGGAGACGCAAGAGUAUUGGGAUGUUUAAUGUAUAUAAUGAACUGAACACGACCAGACAUAGCAUGCGCAAUCAGUAAGUUGAGUCGAUACACGAGUAAUCCCAACAAAACUCAUUGGAUGGCAAUGAAAAUAGUUUUGGGGUAUCUUAAAUACCUUUUGCUGACCUAUAUCAUUCUUGAUUUGCAUAAGUAUGGGAUCCAAAGAUUACUGCUCCUUCACCUCAGCACCAAGAGAUGAUUUAACCACUUCCUGAAAAUCACUCUUUCAUUCUUAGAAUCUAAUAGACAAACUCCUAAGUUGGCCAAUUUAAGAUCCUUCACUAACCCUAUUUUAUCCUUAUUAAUGUGAGAUAAUCUUUCCAUGGACAAUCUGCUAAGAGCAUCAACAACCACAUUAGCUUUACCUGAAUGAUAUUGCAAACUCAUAUCGUAAUCCUUAAUCAAUUUGAGCUACUGCCUCUGCCUAAGGUUUAAUUUCUUCUGUGUAAAUACAUACUGCAAGCUCUUAUGGUUUGAAUAAAUAUCUAUAUGCACUCCAUAUGGAUAAUGGCGCCCAAUUUUAAUACAAAGACCACAACCACCAACUCUAGAUUACUAGUAGGAUUAUUCCUCUCAUGAACCUUAAGCUUCCUGGAAGCAUAAGCCACAACCUUACCAUGCUGCAUUAGGACACAAACCAGACCCACACGAGAUAUAUCACAAUACACAACAAACCUAUUAGUACCCCCGUACAAGGUCAAAACUGCAGGAGAAGUCAACCUAUCCUUCAAAUUUUCAAAGCUACCCUCACAAGAAUCAUACAAUAAAAAACCUUUUACUGAGUUAAAUUCAUCAGUGGAGCAGCAAUUGACAAGAAACUUUCCACAAACCUCCUAUAAUACCCAGCCAAACCCAAGAAGCUCCUAAUACCGAUUGGAGUCGUAGGUAUAGGCCACUGCUUAACUGCCUUAACUUCUUGUAGAUCUACUUUGAUUCCCUCACUAGAAACAACAUACCCCAGAAGGUCACAACACCUAGCCAAAAUUCACAGUUAGAGAUUUUUAUAUAUAAUUUUUGGUCCUUAAGAGUUUGCAAAAUGAUUCCAAGGUGAUUGACAUGAUUCUCCUUACUUUUAAAGUACACUAAGAUGUCAUCAAUGAAGACUAUAACAAACAAAUCUAGAAACUGUCUAAACACUCAAUUCAUAAGAUCCAUAAAAACAGCCGGAGCAUUAGUCAACCUAAUUGAUAUAACCAAAAGUUCAUCAUGGUCGUGAUGGGUUUGUAAAAUAGUCCUAGGGAUAUUAACCUCUUAUAAUUUUUAACUGCUGAUAACCCGAACGGAGAUCAAUCUUAGAGAAAUACCUAGCAUCUUGAAGCUGAUCAAAUCGGUCAUCAAUUAUAGGAAGGGGGUACUUAUUCUUUAUUAUAACCUUAUUUAACUGAUGAUAGUCUAUGCACAUCUGAGGAGACCUAUAUUUAUUUCACAUAAAAAACACAAGAGCACCUCAUGGAUAAAUACUAGGAUAGAUGAAAUCCUUAUCAAGAAGAUCCUUUAAGUGUUUCUUUAGUUCUUUGAGUUUAGCUGGAGUCAUUCUAUAAGGGGGAAUAAAGAUGGGGCGGGUAUCCGAGAGAAUAUUAAUCCCAAAAUAUAUUUCCCUAUCGGGAGAAAUUCCAGGAAGAUCAUUGGGAAAAACUUUGUGAAAUUCAUUAACCACAGGGAUAGAUUUGAAACACUCUAGGUUCUGGCCCUUGCAAAUUUCUUGAGUCUUAAGCUUUCUAAUUAUCAUACAACUUACCAUAUGAGUCAUAUAGUAUGGGUAUGGGUCAUGUAACCUAACUCGUAAUGUGUCUAGUAUUUGGUGGGUGAGUUUUUAUCGUGGUUACGGGUUGGUGAUGAUGAGUUGUAUGUUGAUGUAACGAUAGGUAGGUUCUAAACCACAUGUUAUCCAGUGUCUAGCCUUUGAUGUUCUGCCUAGGGUAUGACUGAAAUAGUACUAGUCAUAUGGUGAUGAUACGAGUUAGGAAAAUGAGUCAUAUGUUAGACAGAAUGCGGCAUCUAACUUUCUGAUCAAGUGACGAUUGAAGGGUAACACUAUUAUGAUGUGCUUAUGAGUUGAGGGGUCCAAUUGUACCCACAUACGUUCUUUUCUACAGGUUUUAAGCUGAGGGUAUUUUAGAUAUUUUCCAACCUAUGCUCUUAAAGACCCACGUCUUAUAACCCUAAUUAGUCAUUCUUUAUACACUUUAGAAGAUUAAAAAUACUCUUUAAACUAUCUCUAAAAAACACUCAAGAAAAUUAGGCUAGGGUUUCUUCAAGGUGGUCAUCUAGAGGCUUAAUAAUCAAAAUCUCUCCAUGAAUUUUCAUAACUUAGGCAUGUUACUCCUCCCUCAUUGUUAGUUUAACUAAAAACAUGUUUUAAUGAAUGGUUUUAUGGUAUUAUUGUGGAUUUAUCUGGGGUUUUGAAAUAGAUGUUGGGGGUUUUGGUUGUUCAUAGUUGAAUAAUGUUUUCCCAUGUUUUUCUUAUGUUUUUUCAUGUUAUAAUUAUGGUUUGAACGUGUGGUUGCAUGGGAAUUGUCAAUUGAUACUUGAUUUUGGCUUUGGAAACUAUAUGUCCUUUACAUGUUUGUUAAAAUACCAAUGAGAAUGAUUUUGUCACAUAGUUUAACUAUUCCUGAAACCUUUGCAUUGCAUAAUACGGUAAUGGAACUUAAAUUGGUUUGGUUGGUUCUAAAUGGUUUGGAAAGGCCUUGGUGUACAUGGCUUUAGUUUAAUUAAAAAUGUUUUGGGGGUACAUAGAAAUCCCCUAAGUGUUGGCUAAUGACAUUUAUUGCAAGCUAUAGUCAGCAUGACGAUACUACUUUAUAAUGCCUUGAUAAUUUACUCUUGGAAUUGGUGGUUUGGUUAUGUCCUAAAUGUUUUAAUUGGGCAAUAAUGGUGGAUUGUAAUAACUAACCGUGAAGGUGUGAGUUCGAUGGACGGACACUGGAAACUCAUAUUUGCCGACAUAAGGGUUGAUCAUGGUGACCAUAUUCUUGUGGGGUACAUAAGAAUUCCCUAAGUUAUACUUGUAUAUAUGUAUUAUGAAGGGAGAAGGGUAUAUGGGAAUUCCCGACCCUUAUGAUAUCUUUGAUUUAUGUGGCUACAUUUAUUGGAGCCCACUCAGGGGGUAACAAUUGACCCAUUUAGCCUAUGGGUGAAUUAUGAUGGUAAAGCUACACAACCCAGGUUAUGGUUUUAAAUGCAUGCUAAACCUGGUUCCCUUUGUCGGCCUAGUAUAUAUAUAUAUGUAUGGAAUUUCAUAUGGUUAUUUUCUUUGAUUCUGAAUAAUAGCAUUAUUUUAUCCUUAUUCCUGAGUACAUUCUAGCAUUUAUCUUACUAACCGUCUUCAGGAGUUAUAUCUCCAUGUGAUGCAGAAACCAAUCGUACUAUUAUUUUUUCUGCUCAGAUUGAAGGGGUGGACUUUCAUUAUUCGGAAGGCCCAUUUCAUGGUAUAGUUUAUCUUAUGCUUUUACUAUUCUCUUGAUAUUUGUUUUUGGCUAUGAUUGGGGGCAUAUCUCGACUAGAUAUUCUUAAAUAUUAUUUAGAGGCUUUGUAUGGACAACUGUGGACUCGAGUAUAUUACAGCUUGGUUUGGUUUGGAUGGUAUGAUUUGGUUGGGUUGGUCUCAGUUCUAGACUUAUCCCAAAGUCAUUGAAAUUUUAAUACACUAUCUUAUUAUAUGUUCAAAAUUCAUUCAACACGGGUUGUAUUGGUUGGAUUGGACAUAGGGGUGGUCUUCGAUCCUUGUUAGACUUAAGAUGCCCGACAUGACGGGGCCCUGGUUUGGGUCAUGUCAGAUUGGUAUCAAAGCCUAGGUUUUGGUAUCAUGGGGUGUCCAUAAAGCCGAGUCAAUUAGAGUCUCUUUUAUGGGUGUGUAGUGCGCUGCACUUAUAAGGAAGAAGCUACGAGACAUUUAAGAAUGUUUCCCUUUCUUGUUAUUCUAUUUUAGGGCUAUAGAGUCUAGGAUGUUCGUCCUCAGAGUUAGGCCAUUAGAUCUCCAGCCCCUUUAUCUCGUCCUACUCCUCCUCGGGGUGCCUUGUUCAAUACUGCUGGCGGUCAGCGCCAGAAUUGCUUCUAUGCUAUACCACCCUGCCAGGGGCAGGAGGAUUCACCAGAUAUUGUUACUGGUACGCACCGUAUAUUUUAUUUUGAUUUAUAUGUGUUGAUGGACCCUGGGUCAAGUUUUUCUUAUAUGACUCCAUUGGUGGCUGUGAAUUUUGAGAUCAGUGCUGAAAAGAUUCCUGAGCCUUUUCUAGUUCCUACCCAAGUAGGUGAAUCUGUUGUAGCUAAGCAAGUGUAUAAGAAGUGUCCUAUCACUGUCCUUAACAGAGUCAUGUUUGCAAACUUGAUUCAACUUGACAUAGUUGAUUUUGAUAUUAUUCUGAGUAUGGAUUGACUUCAUUCUUUUUAUGCGUCUAUAGACGGUCGUACCCAUGUAGUCAAGUUUUAGUUUUCCAAUAAGCCAAUUUUUGAGUGGUCCAGAAAUUCUAUAGCUCCCAAGAGUCAUUUCAUAUCCUACCUUAAAGCCAGGAAAUUGAUAUCCAAGGGUUGUAGCUAUCAUUUGGUUCAAAUUAAAGACACUAAGUCCGAGACUCUGACUAUUCAGUCUAUUAACAUUGUCAAUGAAUUUCUUGAUGUUUUCUCGAAAGAUCUCCUAGGGGUACCUCCCGAUAAAGAGAUAGAAUUUAGGAUUGAUCUUCUUCCUGAUACGCAGCCUAUUUCUAUUUCUCCGUAUCGUAUGGCCCCCACAAAACUUAAGGAGAUAAAAGAGCAACUCAAUGAUCUUCUUGAUAAGGGUUUCAUAAGGCCCAGUAUAUCUUCUUGGGGCACACCCGUUCUAUUCGUGCAAAAGAAAAAUGGUUCAUUGUGUAUGUGCAUUGACUAUCGUCGGCUCAAUAAGGUCACAGUCAAGAACAAGUACCCUCUUCCUAGAAUUGAUGACCUGUUUGAUCAGCUGUAAGGUGUUGGUUAUUUCUCAAAAAUAGAUUUGAGAUUCAGCUUUCACCAACUUAAAGUCAGAGAGUGUGAUAUUUCAAAGACAGCUUUCCGCACCUAUUAUAGUCAUUUUGAGUUCCUGGUCAUGUCCUUCGGGCUAACUAAUGCCCCAGCAUCUUUUAUGGACCUCAUGAAUCGGGUGUUCAGACAGAACCUGGAUAUGUUUGUUAUUGUGUUCAUAGAUGAUAUCCUUGUAUACUCCCUAAAUGAAAAUGACCAUACAGAUCAUCUCUGAUUUGUCUUGCAAACCCUUAGAGAUCAUUAGUUGCUUGCCAAAUUUAGCAAGUGUGAAUUUUGGCUAAGGUCAGUUGCCUUUCUGGGUCAUAUUAUUUCUGCUGAAAGUGUUCGAGUUGAUCCUCAAAAGGUACAAGCUGUGAAAAAAAUGGCCUAGACCUAUCUCUCUAUUUGAUAUUAGGAGUUUCUUGGGUCUAGCUGGCUACUAUCGUCGUUUUGUCGAAGGUUUCUCUUCCAUUUUUGCACCUUUGACUUGGUUAACCCAAAAGAAAGUUAAAUUUCUGUGGUCAGAUUCCUACGAGAAGAGUUUUUAGAAGUUGAAAACUCGACUCACUUUAGCCCCUAUGUUGACCCUUCCUAAUAGUGUAGAUGAUUUUGUAGUGUAUUGUGAUUCCUUUAGAGUUGGUUUGGGUUACAUACUGAUGCAGAGAGGAAAGGUUAUAACCUAUGCCUCCAGACAGUUGAAGCCACAUGAGAAGAAUUACCUGACCCAUGAUCUCGAGUUAGCUGCAGUAGUUUUUGCUUUAAAAAUUUGGAUACACUACUUGUACAUUGUUCAUGUUAAUGUCUUUACGGAUCACAAGAGUUUGCAGUAUGUGUUUACUUAGAGAGAGUUGAACCUGCGGUAGAGACGAUGGUUAGAAUUAUUGAAGGAUUAUGAUAUGAGCGUGUUGUAUCACCAAGGCAAGGCCAAUGUAGUGGCAGAUGCCCUUAGCAGAUCGUCCAUGGGCAGUGUAGCGCAUAUAGAGGAGGAUAAGAAGGAGUUAGCCCACGAAGUGCAUCAUCUGGCUAGGUUGGGUGUUAGAUUGCUUGAUUCAGCUGAGGGUAAUAUUUCGGUUCAGAGUAGUUCCGCAUCUUUCCUAGUUUCGAAAGUGAAGGAGAAGCAGGAUAUUAAUUUUCAUAUGGUCGAACUAAAAGGGUCCGUCAAAGAUCAAAAGGUGUAGGUUUUCUCCCAAGGGGGAGAUGGUGUAUUAAGACUUCAAAAUAGACUGUGUGUGCCUAAUGUUGAUGACUUAAGGCAGCGGAUUAUGACUGAGGUGUAUGGCGUACGGUAUUCUACUCAUCCCGGUGCUACUAAGAUGUAUCGGAAUUUGCGGGAAAUCUAUUGGUGGAAUGGUAUGAAGAAGGAUAUAGCGAAGUUCGUGGAGAAGUGUGCAACUUGCCAAUAGGUGAAGAUAGAGCACCAGAGACCCGGUGGUAUAAUGCAAGAAUUUAGUAUUCCUACUUAGAAGUGGGAAGAGGUGGACAUGGUUUCGUGAUUCUAUUUGGGUUGUUGUAGACAGAUUGACUAAGCAUAUUUCCUACCAAUGCAUACAUCUUUCACUGCUGAGGACUAUGCUAAGCUGUACAUCCUAGAGUUAGUCAGAUUGUAUGGAGUUCUGUUAUCUAUCAUCUCUGAUAGAGGUACUCAAUUUACUUCUCAAUUUUGGAGAGCUUUUCAGAAGGGUCUUGGCACCCAAGUUCAUCUUAGCUCCUCUUUUCAUCCACAGACAGUCGGUCAAGCUGAGGGGACUAUCCAGACUUUGAAGGAUAUGUUGAGGGCAUGUGUUCUUGAUUUUAAAGAAAGUUGGGAUGAACAUUUGCCAUUGAUUGAAUUUUCGUAUAACAACAGUUUUCAUACUAGCAUUGUAAUAGCUCCAUUUGAGGCUUUGUAUGAAAGGAGGUGUAGAUCACCCAUAGGUUGUUUGAGGUGGGUGAGGCUGCUGUGAUUGGACCUGAUGCUGUGUUCGAGGCUAUGGAGAAAUUUAAGUUGAUUCGGGAGAGGUUGAAGAUAGCCAAGAGUCGUCAGAAGUCGUAUGCAGAUAUGAGAAGAAGAGCUCUUGAGUUUGAAGUUGAUGAUUAGGUGUACUUGAAAAUUUUACCCAUAAAAGGGUGAAAAGAUUCAAAAAGAAAGGGAAGCUUAGUCCCCGUUAUGUUGUCCCUUACAGAGUUUUGCAUCGUGUUGGGAAAGUAGCUUAUGAGAUUGAGUUGCCUGCAGAGUUGUCAGUUGUCCACCCUGUCUUUCACAUUUCUAUGCUCAAGAAGCACAUUGGUGAUUCUGUUGUGGUUGAUCCGUCAGGAAGCUUUGAUGUUUGGGACAGCCUUUCGUAUGAUGAGAUUCCGGUGGAGAUCCUAGAUUAUCAAGUCCAUAGACUAAGGAACAAGGAGGUUCCCUUGGUUAAAGUUUUGUGGCGAAAUCAAUCAGUUGAGGGUGCUACUUGGGAAGCAGAAGCAGAAAUGCGAAUUAAGUACCCUCAUCUCUUCUCCGCGAAUUCUAAUCAAGCCGAAGGUACUAUUCUUCUUUAAUUCAGUUUCCUACUAAUCCAGCGCAUUCAGUUAUAUAAAUAUCCAUUCUAUGAUUCGUGCAUUCUGUGAAGUUCUCAAAAGUCUAGAGUGAAGUAAGUCGGUUAAGUAAAUUGUUCCCAUAAGGUAUUUUUCCCGUUUCCUCUUUGAUCUUGAGCCUAACUAGCAACAUUCGAGGACUAAUGUUUCCAAGGGGGAGAUAUUAAAUACCCCGAUCAUUCCUUAAGCAUAAAUCUGUAUUUUCAGCGAAUGAAAAGAUUUCCAAAGUAAUUGAUGUUUAAAACGUGUGGUAUUUCUCUAAUUUCUACUUUUUGUCAUAUGGAUAAUUGAAUAACCUUUCCAUCGAUACCAAAUUCGCCCAAAUCCGAUACUCGGGUGAAGAGUUAGAGCCAUUUUAGUGAGACAGUGUGCCACCUGGCACUUUAGCGCAUCGCGUAGCCAUCCAAAAUGGCAAUUGUCAUUUUCCAGUGAACCUUCACGAUAUUGGCUUAUCGCGCUAAGGUUCAAUAUCAGAAUUGUCAAAUUCCAGUGCACCAACGUGAUUCCAUCGCAUCGCGGUGCUCUUCCAGGUCACGACCAAGGUGGCAAAUGCGACUUCACCGCGUCGUGCCACUGAGAAGUUUCCCAAUUGUCAAAAUCCAGUGAAGGUCCGCGAUCAUGGCGCGCUGCACCAGGGACAAAAAUCGGGCUCUAGUUCUAGAAUUUGCUCAAGGGUAUUUUGGUCUUUCCACCCAUCCUUACCCACUAUAUACAAAUAGAGGAGAAAAUCCUCAUUUUCCUCUUCCAUUCCAUCCAAAACCUAGGGUUUUUCUCCAAAACCCCAUCCAAUUCUUGUCUAAACAUCUCAAAAUUGAGCCGUAGUUUUCACAAAUUAGUUCAAGAUUCAAAACUUCCAAGUUAAGAACAUCAAGAACCCUAACUCAAGAAGUGGGAAAAGAAGUUCCAAUCAAGUUUCUUCAUCUCAAAAUCAUAAUCAAGGUAUGUGGGGCUUGAACAAGAAUAUCCUUUCGUUCUUGUGCCCAAAGAAUUAUUUUUUACUGUUGGAAUUUCAUGAUUGUGUAAAGUGGGUUUAUACCCAGAUUGCUUUACGAUUGAGUUAUUAGAAUUGAGCUAUUCAAGAUUAAUAUACAUGACUAUUUCAUUGUUUUGUUUCCUAAAUUGAGAACUUAUAUUAUGAAUUGUAUAUUGCUACUAUGAAUUAGAAUUGAUGAUUUCCAAGUGAUAAAUGAUAAGAGUCGUGAUUUUAAGUUUUUCCAUGAGAAGUUGAUUAUUGAAUAUAUAUAUUGAUGUUUGAGUUUAAGAGUCAAGAAUGAAUCUUGUGAUGCUUUCUUGAAGUUUUGACAUUUGAUAUGAGUUAAUAAGCAAGUCCACUUGAUGUUGAGAAAGAUUAUUUUGAGUUGAGUCGAGUUAGGAAUCCAUAAAUUAUUUAUGAUUUACCAAUGAGAUAUAUUUAUGAUUUUGGUCUCUAUGGUAGACCCUUGAGUUGAUUAAGGUGGAUUUCUUAAUGCGUUCUGAGCUUGAGUCUGGGAGUAGUAUUUAGCACCGAGAGGGAAGUGUGGCUUCAGCGCAUCCUACUUUCCCAAAAUUACGUGCCACCGUAGGAUAAAGAUUAAGGGCCAAAGGCCAAGACAGUGAUCACUAAAGUUAAGGUUCUACUCCGAUGGCAAGGAUAGAACAGCUCUCCCCAACGUAGAUAAGACGUUGGACGCCAUGUAAGCUCACAUGGUUUAUGUCGGUUAUAAAAAACUCCCAAGUCCAUAAGAGUUUACGUUUCUGGAGUCACCAAGUUACUCUAAGUCUUGAGUUGAAGAGUUUGAGUUGAGUAUAAUGAUUUAUGAGAUUUACAAUGCUUGCAUUACUAUUGAUAAUUUACAAGGAAUAUAUUUCAGCAAAUUCAAGUGAAGAGAGUCAUUAUUGAUAGUGAUUUUCUUAUAUAUUUAUGAUAAUGUUUAUAAUGUUGCAUACACCGCCACAUACUCAGUACAUUCCUAAGUACUGAUUCCUAUACUCUUCUGUGUUCUAUAUUUUCUCAUGAUGUAGGUUCAGGUGCUCAGUCUCAGCAGCGACAGUGAUCUUUGAGUACCUUUAUCUACAUUUCUGAAGUUGGUGAGUCCUCAUGGUUCGAGGACCUAUGUUCCUGAUUUUGCCUUGUUAGUAGAUGGUUCUUUCUUUUCAGUUUAGUAUGAGUCAGUUGGGGAUCUGUCCCAAUGGAUCCUUAGUCUUAUGUAGUAGAGGCUUUUGUCAGACUAGAGUACCAGUAUGUACAAAAAUUUUUAGUAUUUUGUUUGUACAGGCCAGUAUUUCUUCAUAAUUAAGUAUGUUCAAGUUCAUGACAUGAUUAUUCUUCCCUAUUUUAGCAUGAUUAGUGUUACAGUGAGCUCUGAAAGUGAUGACAGACUUAGAGUAUUAGCUUGAGGCCACGUGUGGCCUUAAGCACCGUGUGACGUCUCGGGAUAGGUUCUUGGGGUGUUACAGUAGUAAUAGAAUAUUCUAUUACAACAGAUGACUAAUCUGUUGCAUUCAACUUCUGAUUCUAUCCAUGUAUUGUCACCUCAUGUAACAUUGAUCCAGCUGGUAAGUCAUUUGUUUCAAUAAAUGACUUACGACAAUAGAUGAUUCACCUGUUGGAUACAUGUUCAGAAAUAGAAGAUGAAUCCAACAUGUAAGUCAUCUAUUGUAAUCGAUGAGUCAUAGAUUACAAUAACCAACUAAUCUGUUAGAUUAAACUUCUAAUUUUUUAAUCAUCUUUGCAACUAAUAUAAGAUGAAUUCAACAGGUAGGUCAUCUGUUAUAGUAGAUGAAUUAGCUGUUGGAUUCACUAUUGUAACAUGAAUCUAAUAGGUAGGUCAUCUGCUACAUCAUCUGUUGCAAUAGAUGAAGAAUCUAUUGCAGCUAAUGAGCCAUCUGUUAUAGCUAAUGACUUACCCAUUGGAACUACUUUAACAAUAGUGGAAACUAUCCAACAACUAUUAUAAAUAAAUACAAUAGUUGUUGGAUACAUUACUAAAAAAUUUAAAAAAUUAACAAAUAUAACUAGAUAAGAAUUGGACUAAAAAUGAUUAUUUUACUUACCAAAAUAUCCUUUGAAGUAAUGCCCAGUGAUAUAUGAACAAAAUUUGGUCCAGUAGCAUCAACAACAAUAAUAUGACGACAAUCAGUAGAAGAAGAAGAAGAAGGAGAAGAAGAAGAAGAAGAAGAAGAAGAAGAAGAAGAAGAAGAAGAAGAAGAAGAAGAAGAAGAAGAAGAGCAACAACAAACAACUAAAAUAGAGAAAAGCACCAAAAUUGGAGAGAGAGAAAAUAAGAGCAGCAGCGGAAGAAGAAGAAGAAGAAGCAACAGCAGCAACAGCAGCAGAAGAAGAAGAAGAAGAAGAACAACAACAACAACAACAAACAACUAAAAUGGAGAAAAACACCAAAAUCAGAGAGAGAGAAAAUAAGAGCAGGCUUCUAGUUCUCUCCUAGUAUUGUCACUUAUUGUAAGAUGAAUCCAACUACUAAGUCAUCUUUUACAACAAACGACUUACUUUAAUAGAUGACUCACAUGUUGGAUACAUGUUCAGAAACAGAAGAUGAAUCCAACAUGUAAGUCAUUUAUUGUAAUCGAUUAGUCAUUUAUUGCAAUAAAUAACUCAUUUGUUGCACUAAACUUCUAAUUUUGAACCAGUUUUGCCAGAUGAAGUAAGAUGAAUCCAAUAAGUAGGUCAUCUACAAUAAUAGAUGACUUAGCUAUUGUAAUCUGAAUCCAACAGGUAGGUCAUUUACUGCAUCAUUUGUUGUAAUAGAUGAGUCAUUUGUUGCAGCUGAUGACUUACCUAUUGAAACUACUUUAACCAUUGUGAAACUAUCCAACAACUAUUGUAAAUGAAUACAACAACUAUUGAAUACGCUACUGAAAAUUGUCAAAAAACAGCAAACAUACCUAAAUAAGAAAUAGAACUAAAAAUCAUUAUUUUAUACUACAAGAACAUGUACUUAUUGCUAUGUAAUUUAAGUUAUUAAGUUAAAAAUCAUUGCAAUUACCUAUUAAUAGCUACACAAAUUCGAAUUUCGUGGAUAUUUAAAAAUUCGUCAAAUUUCUUAGCCACAAAAGCUAAUUUGACAAAGCUAAAUCUUAAUUCUUGCUACAAUUGCUACCAGUCGUGGCAAUAAUUACCUAAAUGGCUACAAUUGUUUUGCUAUAGUCAAAUUUGGUAUCUAAUUAUAAGAUUUUGCCACUCAAUAAAAGUAAUUGCAAUAAUAAUAAUCCUUCAACCACAAGAAGUUAUUUGAAACAAAAUAUUGUGGCUAAAGAAAUAAUUUUGCUUCAAGUAAUAAAACUGUGGCAAUAGUUAAAUGAAAUAAUCGUAGAUUUUUUGCUAUAGUAAAAUUUUAUAGCUAAUUAUUAAUUUUUGUCAUGAGUUAAAAUUUAUCGUGGUAAUAGUAACUUUUUAGCCAUAAUAAAUUAUUUGAAGCAAAAAUUAAAGCAAAAUAAAUAAAUAAAAAUUCAAGUUAUAAAGUUGUAACUUAAUAGUUGUAAUUAUUUGUCAGUGGCUUAAUGAUAUAGCCAUACAAUUAUUGUUGUAAUUUGAUAUGGUAAUUGAUAAUUAUUUUAUAUCAUGGGUUGAAAUUUGUUGUAACAAUAUUAACUUUUUAAAAUUCUUCAUUAUUAGGCAAAAAAGAGAAAAGUCAAAUUUUUAAGAUCAUAUGUCUAUUCAUCACAUCAAUACGUAAUCAAUAUUAAUCAAUGAAAAGCUUUAGUAUCUAACUUAUUCAAUUAGCUGUCUCUAAUUAAAGUCGAGAUCGGUAACAACUUAUUUACAAGAAGUUAUUUUUUGAGAUUCGUGAGAAACUUCUCAAACUUAAUAGUAUAAUUCAUAAAUAAAAAGCAAUAUAACCGUAUAAACACCAAUAAAAGUACUAUAAAUUACAAUAAUUAAUGGUUUAAAAUGUUUUAGUGACAUAAAAAAUUUGAUUUGAAUCUGAUUUGAUUUUUGAAAUUUUAUCAAUACCACAUAAAGAAAUAGAAGAAAUAAUAUAUAUUAUUUGAAAAUAAUUUACCAAAAUCCAUAUCUACCAAAUUAAUUUAAUAAUUUGUUGAUUGAAAAAAAUGGUAAUUUGAAUAAUGAUUUAUCAUCAAUUUAACUAUGUAUUUAAAAAGUGUGAGCACGGCUAAGGUGCAAUAUUUAAACGGAUACCAUGUGAAACAUAAGACUUGAUCUUUAUUUUAUGUUGAAAAUUGUUAUUCGAGUUGGACCUUUUCAAUCGAACAAUACAUUUAUCGAGCUAGCUUAAUUAGAGAGGUUAAUCUUUCUAUCAAUUCAAUUUCACAGUACUAUCUUAAUUUUUAAGUUUCAAAUAUUAUUUAAUAAAUAGGAGUUAUGUCAAAUUAAUUUUAAUUACUUAAUUAUAUCAAAUUUAAAUAAAAUUAACUUCACUAAUCCAAGCUCAAACUUCAUCUUAAUCAAGUGCUUUGAGAAUUGUUAUUUGAUUUGAACUUAUUCUAUCGAAACAAUAUAUUUUGGUGUAAUAAUAAGUGCUCAUCGUUCAAUUUGAUUAAGUUUUACAAACACAAUCAAUUCAAUUUUACAAUAUCUUACUUUUAAGUUUCAAAAAUUAUCUAUCUAUAUCUAUUAAAAGCAGAAGACGAAGCACCAAAUAAAGCCAAGUGGCAGCACAAGAAUAAGCCACUUGGCAAUUUUAAGAUAAGGUUAAUAGAGUAUUUUAAUAUAUUUUUUGAAUUAAAAGAUAAGGAUAUCUAAAUUUGAAAAUAUUAGAAUUUUUUCUUGAAUAAAAUUAUCAUUAACUUAAAAGUAAGAAUCUAACAUUGAAGAGUUCUAAAUAAACUCUUACUAUUCAUAAACUAAUUCUUUUCAAUAUUAUAAAAUAUAUUUAAAUAUUAUAUAAAAUAUAAUAUUAUGAAAAUAAAUAAUAAUAAUAAUAAUAGUAAUAAUAAUAAUAAUAAUAAUAUAGUUUGACUAUAUCCAACUAUGCAUAUAUUUCAGAUGAAAAUAUAUUUAUAGAAUAAACACAUUUUUUUUAUAUUUUCAAAAAAGAUCAUAAAAUAAAAAGAUAAAAAAGAAAAAGACUAAAGAAAUACGAAGUAAACCUAAACUAGCUUAAUCCCUACCCAAAUAACUUUUCUAUCGUUACCCACAUCACUUCAAGCUAAGAAUUCUUAGUAGACCUUAUUUUUAUCUGUAAAGUUUAUUACAAUUAGUUAAUAGAUAAAUAUAAAAUUUAUUAAUAAUUAUUUAGUUUGAAACAUUUUUAUACUGAAUUGAAAUGGUAAGAGAAUUUAUUUUUCAAAAUAAAGUUUAUUUUUAAGAUUACUUUAAGAUAAAGUUAAAGGCAACUAAAAAUUAAUUAGCUGAAUUAAUGUUAAAUUUGUUAAUUUUAAAUUUGAAUUAAAAGUUGCAGAUUCUUCUAAAAUUUGAAUUGGAAACCAAUUCUAUGCAAGAUAAAGUCAAAUUUCAAAUAAAAAUUAUCAUUAACUUGAAACAUAAUAAUAAUAAUUAUAAUAAUAAUAAUAAUAAUAAACUUUUAUACUUGAGGCAGAUUAAUAUAGUGAAAAGGAAUAGUAUUGAAUUAAGAUAAAAAAAUAAAUACUUUUAGGAUAAAUUUUUAAUUACGUGAUGAACAUAUAAAACUAAUUAAGAAGAAGAAAGGAAAAAUGGCUCUCGGCGCAUGUUAGUCUAACGUACGCUGGUGGUGGCUGCCAUGGCCAGAACACGAGGUCGCGGCCGUGGAAGAGGUAGAGGACGAGGAAGACCUAGAAUUAAUCCAAUAACAACUGUUGGAGAAUCACAGGGAGCUCGCAAUAUAACACCUUUGGUCACACCCGAUGGAGCAACUGAUAGAGAAGUGAUACAGACGGAGGAAGCUGAGCUAGGACAGAUGGGAAUCUCGAAACGCCUUAUCUUAACCCCCUCCCCUCUUAGUCAAGGAGUGCCAGGUACCAAUUAAUCUAGCCCUAAUUUUCCCCAAAAAUGCAAGUGGAGUAAGGAUCGAGAUCGAAUCCAGCAAUAAUCACUGAAGCAGAAAUCUCAGAUCCCACCCCUGCGCAAAAGCAAGAAGAACAAAUUGAAGCACCGGUAGCUCCGUGGGUGAGGUUAUUUACAAAAAAUAGGGCUGCUGCAAAUGGACUUUUACUAUCAUACAUCCCUCCCCAGCUAAUUGAAGGACAAGCAGUGGUGCAACUUCAGAAAGAGGAAGUUGAUAAAGAAGCAGCUAAAUGGAAUUGUGCUCUCAUAGCAUAUUUUGUUGGAGAUACACCUGGAUAUAAUGCACUAAAUAGAUAUAUUAGACAAUACUGGACCAAUGUGGCUGACCCAGAACUGUAUUACCACGAGGAGGGAUAUUAUGUCAUACGAUUUGCGUCGGUUGAAGUUGAAGAUAUGAAAGAGGUGCUGUAUUCAGGACCCUAUACUAUUAAUAACAGACCCAUUAUUUUGAAGCCUUGGUCGAUGGACUUUGAUUUCAGCACAGAACAUCCUACAAAAAUACCUCUCUUUAGGUUAAAUUUCCCAAGCUCCUGAUGUCUUGCUGGGGAAGAGAUUCUCUAAGUAGAAUAGUCAGUGUCAUUGGCAUACCUGUCUAUGCAGAUGAGUGUACAACUAAGCAGACUAGAAUAUCCUUUGCUCGAAAGCUCAUUGAGGUAAAUAUUACAAAAGACUUGCCCAAUGAAGUGCUAGUAAUGGAUCCUAAUGGGAGGAAGUUUAAGCAACCGGUAAUUUAUGACUGGAAGCCUUAAGUUUUGCUCUUAUCACAAAGUUGUUGGGCAUAGUUACCUACCCAUCCCUAAGGAGCAAGGUAAACCAAAGGAGCCUUACAAAAAUAUAGUGCAAGAAUGGUAGUUUAAAGGGAAAAUAGCAGCAGCACAAGCCCCUACAGAGGUGGAAAAAACAGCGGGUAAAGAAGUAGAAGUGACAAAGGAGCUGAAGUGGGAGAAUCCAGUGAUACUAGCCAUCACGAGCCUCAAAAUCCUUCUAUUCAACACCACCGUAGUCCUAACCGACAGAGAUCCAAGUCUCCCCAAACUCUGACUAGAGAUAUAACUAAACCUGCGUAUAACCUGAGUGAUUUCCCCCCAUUAAGAUCACCGCCUGCAAAGAUAGGUAUCGAGAAAAAGCAGAUUGGGCAUAGUGGAAUGUUGAAACCUCCUGAUGAAGGAGGUCCCUUGAAAUCUUUAUAAUGAGUUGCCUUAUUUGGAACAUACGGGGAGUGAAUUAGAGCUAUAAGCAAAAAGAGCUUAAAAAGUUUAUUAGAGGUAAACAAAUAAAGUUAAUUGGUCUAGCAGAAACAAGAGUUAAACAACAUAAUUCAGCCAUGACUACUAGCAACAUUUGUCCCGGGUGGAGCUCUAUUAACAACUAUCAUCAUGCUGCAAAUGGUAGGAUAUGGAUCUGCUAGGAUACUACUAUAUACACAGUCCAUUAUCUCUAGUCUAAUGCUCAAAUAGUUCAUUGUCAAGUUAAUGAUGCUACCGGAGGGUUCAUAUGCUUGUUGACUAUGGUGUAUGGCUUUAAUUCUGUGGAGACUAGGAAAAGAUUAUGGGAAAAGUUGGAGGAAGUAGGACAAGGGAUUAACCAACCCUAGGUCUUCGGGGGAGAUUUUAAUGCAGUUAUGUGUCCUUUGGAUAGAAUGUAUGGAGCUCCUGUUACAGCAGCAAAAACCAAAGAUCUGGCAGCUUGUAUUCAGAAUCUGCACUUGUGUGAAUUAUCAUGGAAGGUGCAUAUUAUACUUGGUCCAAUAAGCAGUAGGGAACUAAUAGAAUAUGUAGCCGAAUUGAUAAGAUAUUUGGCAAUCAUGAAUGGAUGAUAAAAUGGGGAUAUGUUACGACACAAUAUGAACUUCGUCAAGUUUCUGACCAUGCCCCUUUGAUUUUAACUAUCCGUAGCAUUCAGCUAAGCAUCAAAUCUCCUUUUAGAUAUUUUAAUGUCUGGGCUGACCAUCCAUCAUUCCAAAACAUAGUAACUACAUGUUGGAACACCCAAGUUCAAGGAGGAAGUAUGGCUAGAAUCUGGAAGAAACUUAAAGACCUGAGUCCUCAUCUGAAGAAUCUCAACUCUGUUGAGUUCAAGAAUAUAGCUCAGAAGCUUGAAAUAAUCAGAUUGGAGCUACAGACUACUCAAGAUCAAAUUGCUACAAAUUGUACAGAUGAGUUGCUGGAUAAAGAGAAGAUAUAUAUGCAGAACUAAGAAAAAUGGUCAGGCAUUGAAGAGAAUAUUCUCAGACAAAAAUCAAGGGGCCAAUGGAUUCGGAUUGAGGAUGCUAAUAAUAAAUAUUUCUCAUCCAUGAUUAAAGGAAAAACCUGCAGAAAACAAAUCCUGGAGCUUACCUCCUUGACCGGCCACAAACUCUCUGCUGUUGAAGAUAUACAAAAGGAGAUUGUAGAGUUUUAUAAAAAUUUGAUGGGUACUUCCUCUCAAACUCUCCUAGCAGUCAACUUAAUAACUAUGAAAAAGGGGAAGACUUUAAGCCAUGCUCAAGGGCUAGAAUUGAGUAGAGAUGUAACAAGUGAGGAGAUAGUAGAGGCAAUAAAAAGUAUUGAAGAUGAUAAAGCUCCUGGCAUAGAUGGCUACAAUGCUCACUUUUAUAAGAAGACAUGACAUACCAUUCAACAUGACUUAAUUGCAGCUGUCAAAGAUUUCUUCAAUACUGGUAAGAUGUAUAGACCAGUAAACUGCACCUUGAUUACUCUGGUUCCUAAAACAGUUAGUCCCACUACUGUUAAGGAAUUCGCCCAAUUGCUUGUUGUACUAUACUCUACAAGAUAAUUCCAAAGAUACGUACUUCGACGCUCCAAAAAGUGAUUGCUACUAUUAUUAGUGACGCACAGUCUGGUUUUAUUCCAGGGAGGAAAACUGCUGACAACAUAAUUAUGGCCAGUGAAUUGGUUAAAGCUUAUUCCAGAAAGCAUAUCUCACCUCUAUACAUGCUUAAGAUUGACUUGCAAAAGGCGUAUGACUCUGUAGAAUGGGUAUUUUUACAACAAGUUAUGGAGGCUCUCUGCUUUCCUAAAAGGUACAUUCAAUGGGUAAUGAAAUGCAUUCACAUGGUUAUUUAUUCAAUCAUGAUAAAUGGAGAACCUACUAAACCUUUUGACGCUUCUAAGGGAUUGAGACAAGGGGAUCCGAUUUUUCCAUUUAUAUUUGUCAUUGCCAUGGAAUACCUAAGCAGGUUUCUACUAGAGUUGAAGGAGGAUAAAUUUUUCAUUAUCAUCGUAAAUGUGCUAGGCUUAGGGUAACACAUUUGUGUUUUGCUGGCGAUUUAUUACUCUUCUCUAGGGGAGAUAUAACUUCAAUUAAUGCACUCUGCAAGAUAUUUCAAAAAUUCUCUCAAGCUUCAGGUUUUAUAGCAAAUAAAGAGAAAAGUUGUUGUUACUUAGGAGGUAUGAAAGAUGCAGAAAAGAUACAAAUCAGUCAACACUUUGGAUUCAAGAUAGAUGAGCUCCCCUUUAAAUACCUCAGCAUACCCUUCUCCACCAGAAAGUUAACUAUUUUGCAAUGGAAUCCUGUGAUUGAUAAGAUAAUUGCAAGGGUAUCUUCUUGGACUGCCAAGAAACUAUCGUAUGCUGGUCGGGUACAGUUAGUCCAGUAAUUUCUCUUUGGAAUACAAGUGUAUUGGUCUCAGAUCUUCCACAUCCCCUCAAAUGUUAUUGAAGCUAUUGAUGUAUAUUGUAGAAGUUAUAUUUGGUCGGGCACAAAUGCUAUAACAAAGAGAGCUUUGGUGGCCUGGGAUAAAGUGUGUGCGCCUGUAUCUAUUGGAGGUCUUAACAUCACCAACAUCAACAAGUGGAACAAGGCUGCCCUGGCUAAAACAUGUAGGGAUUUGGCUCAUAAAAAUGAUAUGCUAUGGAUCAGAUGGAUCCAUAGCUACUAUGUCAAUCCUAAUCAGGUUGUGAGUCACUUUCACCUUUAUUCUUUCGAAGUGCAAAGUUCACAUCCAAUGGAGUCUUGGCAAUACCGAAUUCCAUAUACUUGAACUUGUCAAGUACUUUUUUGAUAUAAUGAGACUGUGACAAUGCUAACCCUUGUGGAGUUCGAUGGAUUCUUAUAUAUAAAAUCACAUCUACAACUCCAAGGUCUUUCAUAUCAAACUUGCUCUUGAGCAUUCGUUUUGUUGCAUUUAUGUCAGAAAUGUCUCUACUGAUGAUUACCAUAUCAUCCACAUAUAAAUAAAUAAUGACUUGGUGAUUUGGAGUGUCUUUAAUGUAAACACAUUUAUCACAUUUAUUUAUCUUGAAUCCGUUUGCCAACAUGGUUUGGUCAAAUUUUGCAUGCUAUUGCUUAGGUGCUUGUUUUAGCCCAUAAAGUGACUUAACAAGUUUACACACCUUAUUUUCUUUUCCAGGUUGUUCCAUGUAUAUUUCUUUCUUUAAGUCUUUAUUUAGGAAUGUGGUCUUCACAUCCAUUUGAUUGAUUUGAAGAUCAUAUACUGUCGCCAAGACAAUUAACAUUCGAAUCGAGGUUAUCCUUGUUACUGGCGAGUAUAUAUCAAAGUAAUCAAGGCCUUCCUUCUGUUUGAAGCCUUUUACUACAAGUCUUGCCUUGUAUUUGUCAAUAGUACCAUCCGCCUUCAUUUUCCUUUUGAAGAUCCAUUUAGAACCUAAAGGUUUAUUUUCGGAAGGAAGGUCAACCAAUUCUCAUGUAUGGUUGCUUAAGAUUGAAUCUAUUUCACUAUUGACUGCCUCUUUCCAAAAGGAUGAGUCUUAUAAGGACAUUGCUUCUUUAAAUGUUUGAGGCUCAUUUUCUAAGAGAAAUGUUACAAAAUCUGAUCCAAACAAAGUUGAUGUUCUUUGACGUGUACUACAUUUUGGAUUUUCUUCAUUAUGUACAUUCUCAUUUAGUUCAUCUCGAGGUCGUUUAGAUCCUCCACUAGACUGUUCAUGUCUAGUUUUAUACGGGUAAAUAUUUUCAAAGAAUUCAGCAUUGUCUGAUUCAAUUACCGUAUUUUUAUUAAUAUCUGGAUGUUUGAAUUUAUGAACCAAAAAUCGACAUGCUUUACUAUUUUUUGCAUAUCCUAUGAACACGCAGUUCAUUGUUUUAGGUCCUAUCUUAACCCUUUUAGGUAUAUGAACUUGAACCUUCGCUAGACACCCUCACAUUUUGAAAUAUUUCAAAUUGGGUUUUUUUUUUUUUCAUUUUUCAUAAGGAAUUGAUUGUGUCUUAUUAUGGGGAACUCUGUUGAGUAUACGAUUGGCCGUAAGGAUAACCUCCCCCCAUAAGUUUUGCGGUAAAUCAGAAUUUAUAAGUAAGACAUUCAUCAUUUCCUUCAAAGUUCGAUUUUUCCUUUUCACAAUUUCAUUAGAUUGAGGUGAAUAUGGGAUCGUAGUUUGAUGGAUUAUUCCAUUCUCUACACAUAUUUGCGCAAGGGGAGAUUCAUAUUCUCCGCCCCUAUCACUUCUUAUCAUUUUGAUCUUUUUGUCUAACUGAUUUUCAACUUCAGUUUUAUAUUGCCUAAAUGCAUCUAUUGCUUUAUCCUUACUAGUUAGCAAGUGGACAUAACAAUAUCUAGUGCAAUCUUCAAUAAAAGUUCUGAAAUACUUUUUCCCACCACAUGAUGGUGUUGACUUCAUAUCACAAAUGUCAGUAUGUAUGAAGUCUAAGGGAUUGAAAUUUCUUUCGAUGGACUUAUAAGGAUGCUUUUCAUACUUCGAUUCCAUACACGUUUGACACUUUGAUUUAUUGCAUUCAAAGUUUGAUAAAAUUUCUAAGUUAAUCAAUUUUCGUAAUGUUUUGUAAUUAACAUGGCCUAAACGUUCAUGCCAUAAAUCAUACGACUCAAGCAAAUAAAAAGAAUUCGAACUUUUAUUUAUUUCAACAGUCAUUACAUUCAUCUUAUAAAGGCCUUCGGUNNNNNNNNNNNNNNNNNNNNNNNNNNNNNNNNNNNNNNNNNNNNNNNNNNNNNNNNNNNNNNNNNNNNNNNNNNNNNNNNNNNNNNNNNNNNNNNNNNNNNNNNNNNNNNNNNNNNNNNNNNNNNNNNNNNNNNNNNNNNNNNNNNNNNNNNNNNNNNNNNNNNNNNNNNNNNNNNNNNNNNNNNNNNNNNNNNNNNNNNNNNNNNNNUAGCGGAGUUAGCCAUGUAGAUCAUUUCUUCUGCUUGAGCCGGAGAAAAUAAUGAAAACAACUCCUUGUUGGCACAUACAUGGUGGGUGGCACCAGAAUCCAUCCACCAUUCGCGAGGAUUCCUCACCAAGCUGCAUUCUGAGAACAUAGCACACAAAUCAUCGCAUUCUUUGUUGGAUUCAAUCAUAUUUGCUUGAUCCUUUUUCUUGCCUUUCUUUGGGCCUCGACAAUCUAUGGACUUGUGGUCAAUUUUGCCACAACUGAAGCAUUUUUCCCUUGAACUUUUUCUUGGGUUGAUUGCUUUUAUGUUCAAUUUUCUUUCUUUUCUUCGAAUUAUUUUGGUCAUCUUCUACAAUAUGUGCUCCAGUAAUUGUAAAAUUUUCCUUUGACCUUCUUUCGGCAGCUUUAUUGUCCUCUUUAAUAUGAAGUCGGACAAUAAGAUCUUCAACAGUCAUCUCCUUGCACUUAUGCUUUAAGCAGUUUUUGAAGUCUUUCCAUAAAGGUAGUAGCUUCUCAACUAUCGCUGCUGCUUGAAAAACAUCAUUCACAAUUAAACCUACAAAACAGUUUAUGUGAGUAUUAAGAACAUUUUUAAUUUGUUAAACUAAGGUAUUUUUUAAAGAUAUACCUUCUGCUAGGAGAUCAUGUAUGAUGAUUUGCAACUCCUGUAUUUGAGAGACAAUAGAUUUGCUAUCUAUCAUUUUGAAGUCCAGGAACCGUGAAACAAGAAAUUUCUUAAUUCCCGCAUCCUCCGUCUUAUAUUUUCAUUCAAAUGCCCCCCACAGUUCCUUUGAUGUCUUGGUUUCACUAUAAACAUUGUAGAGGUCGUCUUGGAGACCACUCAGAAUAUAAUUCUUGCAAAGAAAGUCCGAAUGUUUCCAAGCUUUUACAAUAGCGAAACGGUCUUUGUUCGAGGUUCCCUCGGGCACCUCAGGAGCGUCUUCGCUAGUGAACCGUUGCAGACAUAAAGUGGUGAGAUAAAAGAAUAUCUUUUUCUGUCACCGCUUGAAGUCAAUGCUCGAAAAUUUUUCGGGCUUCUCCGCCGGUGCCAUUAUUGGCGGAGCAUUUGUGCGGCUUGAUGAAGCAAUAUUGUUUGCUCCCACAGUCGUAGCCACAUCAUGCAUUUGACUUUAAGUUGUCAUUUUUCUUGUCACCACAAGACAGAAAACUUAGUAUUUUUUCAGAAUACUAUUUAUAAAGUUAAAUAACUUGAAACUCUUCUUCUUGUUUCUAGUUAACGAUGAAGUUUUUAUUACUUUAAAUCGUCAACUGAGUGAACCUUAACUUGUGAUGAAGAUUUUAUGUCUUCUAAUCACUAGUUAAAUUUAAGCGGAUUAGAAAGCUUAAGCUUUAAUCUCCAAAAACAAGCAAUACAAAUUUUGUAGGAUUAUUCCUUAAGAUUGUUAUUUCCCACAAUAUAUUCGGGUAUGCAGAAAUCUGUAUGGUAAAACAACAACUUUAACUCCAGUUCAAGUAUAAACAAGAACACAAUGAAGUAUCAAAUACCCUCAACACAAGAUCAAAAUGACCUUUUCAAGAGGUGUAUUUAUUUUUUCAGAAAAAUAAAGAUGAAACAGAAAUGAUUAAGGCCAAGUCGUCCGAAUUCACGGACUUUCCUUAAGGAAUAAUUCCCUUUAGUGUACCCGAGGUUAUGGAAUCUUUCUCCCAGGAUAAAAUGACCAUCAAUUCGACUAUAGCGGUACCCCAAAUAGGCGGAUUCUUUGAAUGCACUCAACGGUUUGAAUGAUCACACACAAAUUUUUUGUUAAGAUAAGAAGUUUGUAAUCUGAAAAUUUUUCUAUUCCAAAACCUGUGGAUGAAAUCAGGUUUUUUUAGCCAAGAGAUGCCUCUUCUGAAAAGAGACAAUGGUCCAUCUUAGAGGUGUGAUGUUUCUGAAAAUGCAUGUCUGUUUACCAAAAAUAGUGCAGUAUUUUGCUGAAAUAGUGCACCAGUUCGAAAUAGUGCAUCACUUCAUUGAAGAGUUGCAUCUGUUCGAACCAACUUAUUAGUUCAGGAAACAUUGUUUCGAAAAUCUGCACCAGUUCAGAAACAGAAACACAAAAGCAGUGCAUCAGUUCGUAAAACAGUGCAAUGAUUCGUUGAAACAGUGGCACCAGUUCACUUCGAAUAUUACAUCAGUUAUUACUGCAUGCAUGUAUAUUUAAAUGGAGUUUUGUCAAAUAAAAUUUGUCCAAAAAGAUAGAUCUCAUCGAUCGAUCAUUUGCCAAAUCCAAAGCUGAAGCCGAAGCCGAGCCGAGCGAAACAGAAACACAGAAGUAGUGCAAUGAUUCGUUGAAACAGUGGCACUAGUUCACUUCGAAUAUUGCAUCUGUGAUUACUGCAUGCAUGUAUAUUUAAAUGGAGUUCUGUCAAAUAAAUUUUUUCCAAAAAAUAUAGAUCUCAUCGAUCGAUCAUUUGCCAAAUCCAAAUCCAAAUCCAAAGUCAAAGCCGAAGCUGAGCCGAGCGAGCAAGCGACGACGACGGCGUGAGGCAUCUAUUAUUUCUUGUCUCACUUUUCAUGUGAAUCAUUUGCCAAAUCCAAAUCCAAAGCUGAGCGAGCAAGCGACGACGACGGCGCGAGACAUCUAUUAUUUCUUGCCUCACUUGCCUUGUGGAGUAAGUAUUCAUCAAUAUAAAUACUUUCAAGUUUUCUUCUUCCACCAAUGUGGGAAAAAGAGUAAACUUGCCAAUUUGGGAGUACACUUUCCAUUUUAGUGUCUCCUUCCUUCCACCCUUUUACUCUUCAUUUUUUAAUUCACUUCUUUCAUCUACUAUGAACCCAACAUGUAGAUCUUCACUACAAGUUAUGCACUACACAAUUAGAAACUUGAGACCACUUGUUUGUGCAGUGUGCCUAUGCUCAGAGCUUAUGGCGUAAACUACUCAACUGGUUAAAGAAAAGCUACGUUGAUGCUGCAAAUUGGGAGGAACACAGUGCAUGGGUGAUAAAAAUUGCUAAAGGUAAAUCACAAACUGCCCACAUCUUUAACAUGGUUUACACGAAAUACGUUUAUGCAAUUUGGAUGGAAAGAAAUUUAAGAACCUUUGAAGGCCGAAGCAGACAAUGGCAAUGCCUCGCUAAAGAGAUAGCUUAGAGAGCUUCAGUGGGAGUUAGUUCUAAAUUACAAGAGUUGAAAAUUUAGUAGCUGCUAUAUUGUUGAUUUUCUGUUUGUUUUCUCUUUUAAAUUUUAAGUUUCCUUUUACUAGAUAGUAGUCCUAAGGUAGGAUUAAUAUGGAGUUGUAAUUUGCUACUUGGUAAUGAAUGCAAACGUUAGUUACCAAAAAUAAUAACAAUAAUAAUAAUAAUAACAACAAUAAUAAUAAUAAUAAAAAUAAUAAUAAUAAUAAUAAUAACAAUAAUAAUAAUGACAAUAACAAUAAUAACAAUAACAAUAAUAAAAAUAAUAAUAAUAAUAAUAAUAACAAUAAUAAUAAUGACAAUAAACGCCUAAUAAUUAAUAACAAUAAUAAUAAUAAUAAAAUCACUGUGCACAGGGAUCCAUCCAUUAUUGUGUAAGAUUCUCUUUUUUAUUAUUUAUAGACGCCUCAUUCUUGUGAAGAGGCAGGAGUUCAGAAGUUCUCUCCUUUUGUUUUCUAAAAACUCUCUCUCUCUCUCUNNNNNNNNNNNNNNNNNNNNNNNNNNNNNNNNNNNNNNNNNNNNNNNNNNNNNNNNNNNNNNNNNNNNNNNNNNNNNNNNNNNNNNNNNNNNNNNNNNNNNNNNNNNNNNNNNNNNNNNNNNNNNNNNNNNNNNNNNNNGCUGACAUGUUAACUAUGAAAGCUCCAGACUCUAUCAAAAUAUAAAAGAAUCUUUUUAAUUUCUUGACUUGGUUCCAAAAUGGAGGUACAGUCGAGUUCAAUACACUUAUGUUAACCUUGUCUCUGUGACUCCGUCUAGUAAGUUGUGCCUCUCUAGCCCAUUGUGUUGUUAAGAAAAGGGCGAAUUCUGCACAAUUAGAACUUCUAGACACAUAGGUUUAACAUAAGGUUAUUAAAUCUCUGACAGACCCUAUGUUUGGGUAAAAGAGCCCAUACAGUCAUUAAAAUAUUUAAAAUUUUUUUCUAUUUCGGUUGGUGCUUUGGUUCGGUCUUCCGACUUUGGUUUAAUCCGAUAUUAUUAUAUGGUCUGGUAGGCUGAGUGACAUACCCCAGCCUAAGAGAUCCUGUUAAUGGUAUCAGAGCCUGUGAAUUUUCAUAGUAAAUAUGUUAAGUGAGGUGAAGAUUUUUAGCAUAGAUAUAAGACUUUUAUAAUUAUGGAUAUGAGAGAAGUUAGUACUAAAAGUACAAAACUCGAAGAGGUAGAUUUACCUCAAGAUAUGGAUUUACUAAACAAAUGGAUUAAAAACCAUAUAUGAAUACAGAUUUUUUGAUAAAAUAAAACAUAAACAAAUUAUUAAAACAACUGAACAAUCCCUUGCUUUAAAUGCUGAUGAACAGACUAUUCAACUCCUAAAUAAGCAUGAUAUUGAUAUUUUUAAACAGAAUUAUAAUUAUAUGCAUAUUGACCUAGUACAAAUUGCCUUUCGACCUUUAACACUAAAGGGUCUCCCUGAAACAUUUUUAGCUGCUUUGCGUGAUGCUAGAAAUUUAAAUUUUAGAAAAUCCUUAAUGGGAUCUAUUGAAUCUACUCUUGCCUAUGGUCCUGUAUAUUAGAAUACUCAGCCAAAUUUACAAUUAUCUCUGACUGAUGUAAAUAUUCUUCAUGCUUUAACCUUAAAUGUGAAAACUCAUGGAUAUGAUUAUGCCCCUGGAUUUGAACUUAUAGGAUUAUCUUACCGCAUAUACUAAAAAAAAAAUAUACAGGACCAUAGGCAAGAGUAGAUUCAAUAGAUGAUAAUUCUGAUUGCACUAUGCUUAUUGAAACUAAUUUUAUAAAAUCCAGGGUUACUACCCGAAGACCUAUUUGAUGGGAUGAAAUUGACUUCCCCAAAACAUGGAUUUUAAACUCAGUCACUUCCCCAAAACAAUUGGCGGAGGAUGUGACUAAUUCAGAGUUAACUUAAGUAACUCAAAAUUCAGAUGGACGAAUUUGUCUACAAUUUGAUAAUAAUCCCGCAGUCUAUAGAAAUUCAUUUCUCUACCAAGAAGACUUCCUUCUAUACAUCAUAUUUCUCCUAUAGAACCUGAUUAUGGUCCAGCUAGGAAUCGAGCGACAUCCUUGCAUACUAUUAAUUCUGCAGAUUUGCAUGUUACACCUAAAGAUGUAGAAAAGAUAAAAAUCAACUCCAAAACUAAUAUAGUUCAAGAUUUUGAUAAUGAAAAUCCUACCCCAUCUGAGAUGGAUUUUGAUAUCAAUUCUGUUUAACUAUGAAGACACAACUUAUUGAUUUUAGUCCUAAUUCUCAAGCAAGAAAAUAUAUUCAGAAAGAAUUUUUUUCUGAAAAAUGGAAAAUCUUUAGGACAUGGUUUUUGAAACUUAUAAUCCUGAUGAAUUACGAAAUAUUUCCAAAGAAUUCUAUGAAAUAUGUGUCUUAUAUAGUAAAAUUAUUUUUUUUGUACCAUGGUUCAUGUCUGCAUAUUUGCCGUCAUAUAUCAAAAUAAUUGAAAGAUCUUAUCAAAAUUCUGAUGGUANNNNNNNNNNNNNNNNNNNNNNNNNNNNNNNNNNNNNNNNNNNNNNNNNNNNNNNNNNNNNNNNNNNNNNNNNNNNNNNNNNNNNNNNNNNNNNNNNNNNNNNNNNNNNNNNNNNNNNNNNNNNNNNNNNNNNNNNNNNNNNNNNNNNNNNNNNNNNNNNNNNNNNNNNNNNNNNNNNNNNNNNNNNNNNNNNNNNNNNNNNNNNNNNNNNNNNNNNNNNNNNNNNNNNNNNNNNNNNNNNNNNNNNNNNNNNNNNNNNNNNNNNNNNNNNNNNNNNNNNNNNNNNNNNNNNNNNNNNNNNNNNNNNNNNNNNNNNNNNNNNNNNNNNNNNNNNNNNNNNNNNNNNNNNNNNNNNNNNNNNNNNNNNNNNNNNNNNNNNNNNNNNNNNNNNNNNNNNNNNNNNNNNNNNNNNNNNNNNNNNNNNNNNNNNNNNNNNNNNNNNAUAUAUUUUAUCUAAACCUUGUAUCCAAAGACCUCCUGAAAUAGAAGGAUUUGAAAAGGUUUCUCAAUUAGACCAAUUAGAAAAAAUCUUAGAUAAAAAGUUCUCUCGUUUAAACAUUCAACCUCUUAAUAUUUCUGAUGAUUUUAUGCAAAAAUUCGAGUCUAAUUUUGCUGAUAAUAUCGAAUCUACUCAAAAUACUGGAGAUGUAAUCUCUUCCGAGAUAAAUAAGCUAAAAGGUAUGAUUAAAAACAACCGGGAAAAAAAUACGCUGACAUUCCCCGUAUGUCUACUGCAUAUUAUCCACGUUCAACUCCUCAAGAUGUUCUGAUAGAGGAAAGAGAUUGGAAUCAAACAAAUACUUCUUAUAGUGGAGAAGCUAUUUAUGAAUGGAAUAUUGAUGGAUUAUCUGAUAGAUAAAUCUCUAUUCUUAUCCAUCGGAUGUCCAUGUAUGCUACUAUUGCCACAGCCACUGCUUCGGCAGAGAAUCGAGCCAAUCAUACUGAUCUAACAAUUUGUAAAAUGAUUGUUGCGGGAUUUACUGGACAACUUCGAGGCUGGUGGGAUAAUUUUCUAGACGACGAUAAACGUGAGACUAUUUUUAAUGCCACCAAUGAUAAACUUGGAAAAGAUAAUCUAGGUCGACCACUUCAGGUAGGACGAUCAGAUGCUGUCUAUACCCUUAUGCUUACAAUCAUUGAACAUUUUGGAGGAAGAAUUACCAAUCAAUAUGAAAACAUUAGAACUCUUCUUAAUGGUUUAAAAUGCAAACACUUAGGAGAAUUUAGAUGGUAUAAAGACACCUUUCUUAGUAGGGUUAUGGAUUUACCCGAAAGUAAGUAUGACCAUUGGAAAGCUAAAUUCAUUGAUGGCCUUCCCCCCUGAUUUGCUGAAAGAGUUAGAAAAACCCUUCGAGGAUCUUAUGGAGAAGUCCAGUAUUCAGAAAAAACUUAUGGUCAGCUUAUUGUAGCUUGUACUCAAGAAGGCUUAGCCCUUUGCAACGAGUUAAAAUUAGCCAGACAAAUUAAGCUCGACAAACUCAGAGAAAAAUCCCAAUUAGGAGACUUUUGUGAACAAUUUGGUAUGGAUAAACGCUUAGCACGAAAAACCCAAAGAUAUUUCAAGCCUAAUAAAUCCUAUAGAAAUAGACGUUCUAGGCAUAGAACCAAAGAAGAACGUGAAACUAGAAAUUUUUUUCGUAAGUCUACCAGAUUCACGAAAAAUAGAUCAAAAAGAGAGUUAGCCAAAAUUAAGUGCUAUAAGUGCAACUAGUAUGGUCAUAUAGCUCCAAAUUGCAAAUUACAAAAACUCAAGUCCUUAGGACUUUCUGAAGAAGUUCAUGACCAAGUUUAUAAUUUAUUAUAUACCUCUUAUUUUGAAUCUGAUUCUACAUCUGAAAAUGAUUUUGAAUUACCUAAUUCUGAUAGUGAACUCAAUCAGGUUGAUAAAUGUAAUGAUUGUGAUAAUGAUAUUUGUAAUUGUGAUGAAAUGAUGUAUAAACUUCAAGCGCAAUUCGAAGAUCUUGAUUUAAAUGUUCAAACCCUUACUGUUGAUAAUGUCCUUGAAUUACUGAUGAAAAACUUCGUGAAAAAAUCAUUAAUUUUGCUACUCAAAAAACUUCUGCUAAUACUAGUAUUUCUAAAGAUAACUCUUAUGAUAAUUAUCACAUGUCAUAUUCCUUAGCCGAAGUUAAUCGACGUCUUGCGUUGAGUCAAACUCCAAGUAGAGAUACUACCUUUAAUGAUUUAAAAAUUAAAGUUGAACAAUUAAAAAAAGAAAUUGUCUCCUUAAAAUAAAAUCAGAUGAUCUCCGAUCAUAGAAUUUUGAAAAUUGAAGAACAGAUUAUUGACAUCUCUAAAACUUCUAUUACUUCAAAAGGAAAAGAAAAGGAUUUGGACUACUCUGAAAAUUCUGAAAUUGAUAAACUUAGUCCAACAGAAGAUUUAAAAAGGGAUUAUUUCUUGGGGAUGAUGCAAAUAGUUACUGCUCAUAAAUGGUAUAUAAAUUGCACUAUUCUAAUAAAUAAGGAAUUUUCUAUCACUAAUAUUGCUAUGAUUGAUAGUGGGGCUGAUUUUAGUUGUAUUCAAGAAGGACUAAUUUCAACCAGAUAUUUUGAAAAAACUACUCACAUAGUCAAGUCUGCAUCUGGUCAUACUCUUAAUAUCAACUAUAAAUUAUCAAAUACUCAUAUAUGUCGAUAUAGAGUAUGCAUUCCACAUUUCUUCUUUUUAGUAAAAAAUCAGUUAUAUCCUCCUAUUAUCUUAGGAACACCUUUUAUAAAUGCUAUUUAUCCUUAUACACAUAUUGAUGUAAAUGGUUUUAAGGCUACUUAUAAGAAUAAACAAAUCUCUUAUCCUUUUGUUACUAAUCCUGUAACAAGAGAUAUAAAUGCCCUUACCAGUAUGAAACAAAAGUAAAUUAAUUUUUUACAAUUAGAACUAAUGAGUAUUAAUAUUUUGAUACUUUAAAAUCAGUAAAAGUCUAAGAAAAAAUAAAAAUAAUUUCUAAUCAAUUGAUUCUUGAUAUUUGUGCUGAUCAUCCAAAUGCUUUCUGGAACUGAAAGAAGCAUAUUGUUUCUCUUCCUUAUGAAAAUGACUUGAGUGAAGAAAAAAUUCCAAUAAAAUCUCGACCCUGUCAAAUAAAUACAGAGUUAGUAGAAUUCUGUAAGACAGAAAUUGAUAGUCUUCUGCAAAAGGGUCUUAUAAAACCUUCAAAAUCUCCUUGGUCUUGUACUGCUUUUUAUGUCAAUAAUGCUGCUAAAAAAGAAUGAGGAGUACCUCGAUUAGUUAUAAACUAUAAACCUCUGAAUAAAGUUUUAAAAUGGAUUCGAUAUCCUAUACCGAAUAAAAAAGACUUACUUUCCAGAUUAUAUGAUGCUAAUAUAUUUUCUAAAUUUGAUUUAAAAUCUGGNNNNNNNNNNNNNNNNNNNNNNNNNNNNNNNNNNNNNNNNNNNNNNNNNNNNNNNNNNNNNNNNNNNNNNNNNNNNNNNNNNNNNNNNNNNNNNNNNNNNNNNNNNNNNNNNNNNNNNNNNNNNNNNNNNNNNNNNNNNNNNNNNNNNNNNNNNNNNNNNNNNNNNNNNNNNNNNNNNNNNNNNNNNNNNNNNNNNNNNNNNNNNNNNNNNNNNNNNNNNNNNNNNNNNNNNNNNNNNNNNNNNNNNNNNNNNNNNNNNNNNNNNNNNNNNNNNNNNNNNNNNNNNNNNNNNNNNNNNNNNNNNNNNNNNNNNNNNNNNNNNNNNNNNNNNNNNNNNNNNNNNNNNNNNNNNNNNNNNNNNNNNAAAAUCUGUCUAGAGAUUUAGCUCCUUUAUAUGAUAGAUUAAAUAAGGAUCACAAAACUCCUUGGACUCAAAUCCACACUGAUUUAGUAAAAUUAAUUAAGAACCGAGUUCAAACUCUUCCUUGUACAUCUCUUGCAAACCCUAACUGGUUGAAAAUCGUUGAAACUGAUGCUUCUAAUAUUGGGUAUGGCGGAAUAGUUAAAUAAGUUAAUCCCCAUACAAAAACAGAAUGUUUGAUUCGAUUUUAUUCUGGUAAAUGGACUGAAAGUCAGAAAAAAUACGCCACAGUAGCCCAUGAAAUGUUAACUAUUGUAAAAUGUGUUUUAGAAUUUCAAGAUGAUUUGUAUAACCAAAAAUUUAUAAUUAGAACUGAUGCUCAAUCCGUUAAAUUUAUGUUUAAUAAAGACUUUAAACAUGAUGCCUCUAAAUUAAUAUUUGCACGAUGGCAAGCUCAAUUAGCCCCUUUUGAUUAUGAAAUACAAUAUAAAAAGGGUAGUGAAAAUUCUUUGCCUGAUUUCCUAUCUCGCGAAUAUCUAACAUGAAUUUUUACACAUACUUCCUCCCUGAGAAAACUAUAAUUACUAUUAUCAAAGACAUUCCUUUAAACGAAGAUAUUCAUUUUUUUAUUUUAGAAAAUCUAAUUCGUAGCCUAAUAGAAGAAGAUUUAUUCCUUAACCACAACGAAUUCCUUGAAAAUGAAAUUUAUUGGUUUGAUAUUGACUUAAGUGAUUAAUGUUUAUAGAUAUAAUGAAGUUCUUUCUACACUUCUUCUCUGAAAAGUUCUUAAUCAUCUUUAUAAAAGUAGUUCCUCUAAAUAUGGAUCUACAUAUGCUCAUACUUCGGAAAGUCAUUGAUGAUCUUAUCACAAAGGACACACUUUAUGAAGAUCUCUCUGAAUAUAUGUCAUGGUAUGCUGAUCAAAUUCCUGAUUAUUAAUGCAGUAUGAAUCCUCCUUGGCAAAUAGCCAAAGGAA